rnacentral:lncRNA from 1 species
UACUUCGCGAGGUGAUCGGGACAAGAGGAUCCUCCAGCUGGGACUCCUCACUAACCUCCCGCAGGUGGGAGGGGUUCAGGAAGGGACUCUAAUCCCCUAAAGCAACGAAGGACCCAAGAAAGGGUUAACUUCGAGCCCUACAGUGACUUCAAUCAUUGGCUCAGAGCACCGUCAGUCAGCGUCCUGGGGGCGGGGUUUUCGGGGCCGCCUUCGGACAGCCCAGGGCCCCUCACUUGCCCCUCGACCCCCACAUCAUUUCACUCCUGGGCUGCGCCCACACCCCCAUCUUGGUGGAGACCCCUUCCUGGGCCUGGAGGAGGAGCGGAUGCGGGCAUCCUGGCUUCUGCACUCACUCCAGCUGCCUGGCUUCCUGAUAGAUGGUGAUUAUUAUAUAAUAGACCUGCUGGACAGAACCGUGCCAGCGCUCGGAACACUUUGCCCCCUCCUCGAAGCGUGCCCCGAGGCUUGGCACCGGCCGCCCAGAGUCGGCUGCCCGGCUCUGCCGGCGCCCCCGGCACCAGCUCCCUCCCGGGGCGGGAGAGCCCCCUGAGCCACCUUCCCGGGUGGACCUGGGGCCACGUCUUGCGAUGGGGCGGGCGCCAGGCUGGGAGUCGGGCGGGCGCCCGGCAGGUCUCAGUGUCGGCCUGCGGAGUUUGCCUUUCCCAGCGCCUCGCCGGGAAUCGGGGACCCACCUGGCCCCUCCAACCUGAACUUGGAACUUGGGAGCCAAUAGAGGUGGGGCUAGGGGGCGCAGGGGCCAGGAUCGGAACGGGAAAGAAGUUUGGGAGAGGUGCGGGGGGUGGGGGGGCAGGAAAAAGGAGGCUGGGAGAGGGGGCCGGCGGGGGCAGUGGGGGAGGGACUCUUAUCCUGACAGGGCUCCCGCCUUCCCCGACUGGAGGGUUUGGAAAAACUGAGCAGGCAGCCAAGGCUUGGCUGGAAAUCCUGCAGCCCACCCUCCUGGGGACACAAAGCUGGAGGGCGGAGGCUGGGCGGGGGAAGGGAGCACGACCCCGGGGAGGGCAGGGCCUCUUUUGGGGCUGGGGGCCCAGGGGCCAGGUCCCUGGGGAGGGGGUUCCUGGCGCUGUCUCCCUGCAGUCUGCUUCCCCCUUCUUCUCUCCCCCCCUCCUCCUCUCCCCCCUCCUCCCCCUCCCCGGCUCCAGUCUUGCAGAUUGCGGGCAGACUUAACUCCUUGCGCGCCAGCCGCGUAGACUCCGAGCUGGGGACGCCGGGAGGGAGGGAAGGAGGGAGGGACUCCGGACCCCGCUGCCACCACGGUUUAACACCUUGUGGCCCGGAACGCAGUCUCGGGAUCGGGGCUGCUCGGAGCCCCGGGAGGCUGCCGGGUGCUGGAGGACAGACGCCACAAAACCUGGCACCUGAGAGCUGCGUGAUCCGGUCCAUCCUGCUGCCAGAUCUUAAUUGUCUCCCCUCCCGCCACCGCAGUCCCCCGCGUCCCUCCCUCCACUCUUUGAUCCCCGCGCCCCGCCGCCCGGCCCCACUGGUCGCUACACGGUCUCUGCCAGAGACCGAAGGCUGCGGAGAACCCGGAAGUCUGGCUUCCGCGGCUGCCCCACCUUCUCCGUACCGCCCGCGAGGCCCAGCGCAGGUACUACAGGCACCUGCCCGCGAGGAGCUUAUAAGGUGGAGACAGUUACAACACAAUAAAAGAAGGUAAAUAAUUAAAAGAUGUGGACAUGAUGUAAUCAUGCAGGUUGCAUCCUCAGGGAGACCUUCGGAGAAAGGGGAGACUGACCUUGGGUCCAGGGGAACAGGAGGGCUUGAUGAGGGCGCAGAAAGAACAAAAGGAGAACUCACAGAUCUUGGUGGGAAGGGGCCUCAACAAAGACCAACAACCUGGGUUACUGUUCUUUCUGAUGUGCAACUGCCUCCCCCACCUCCCACCACACCCCUCGAGCAGUAUACCACCAUCUUCUUGAACCCCUCCAGUAGCGGGGAACUUACCAUCUCCUAAAGCAGCCCAUUCCGUUUAUGAACAUUUGUGGGGGUUUUUUUUUUAAGUAAAGUUUAUUUUAUUGAUUGAUUUAAAGUAAGCUCUAGGCCCAACAUAGGGCUUGAACUCAUGAUACUGAGACCAAGAGUCACAUGUUCUUCUGACUGAGCCAGCCAGGUGCCCCAGUGAAUGAACAUUUGUUUUUCCUUCCUUUGAGCUGAACUCUGUCUCCCAGUGGUCUCCACUUUUUAGCCCACACACUACCUCUUGGGGUCACACACUGUGUGAGUCUAAUUUUUCUUUCCCAUGAUAGCCCGUCACAUAAUUGAGCUUUAAUGAUUCCUCACUCUUCUCCUCUCCAGCCUAAACAUUCCCAGUUCACUAAACAGUCACUUCCAUGAUGACACCUGGCCAACUUAGAAUAAAGCAGGACUAUCAUUCUUUUCCUUUAUUCCA